CAAUUCUCCAUGAGGUAACUUUAUAAUUUUCCAAGGCAAAAGAGCCCCUGACCAAUUCGAAACAAAAAUAAAUAGGAACAAAGUUCCAAUAAACGGAACCCACGGACCAUAUUCUUCUCCAAUCUGAGUUUUGCUCACGUCUCGGAUGAAUUCAAGGACAUAUUCAAAGAAAUUCUGACCGGACGUUGGAAUAGUUUGCGGAUUUCUAACAACUAGAAUGGUUGAAAUUAAUAAGAUAG
rnacentral:lncRNA from 1 species